rnacentral:rRNA from 1 species
AACGUACGCUGGCGGCAGGCGUAACACAUAUAAGUCGAACGCGUCUAGCAAUCCACCAGUGGCGCACGGGUGAGUAACGCGUGGGCACAUGCCCUUGCGUCCGGAGCAACCUCGGGAAACUGAGGAUAAUACCGUAUGAUGUCUGCGGACCACGGAUUGACCGCUCAAGGAUCGGCCCGCGUUAGAUUAGCAAGUUGGUGAGGUAACGGCACACCAAGGCGACGAGCUAUAGCUGGUCUGAGAGGAUGACCAGCCACACUGGGACGGAGACACGGCCCAGACUCCUACGGGAGGCAGCAGUGAGGAAGAGUGGACAAUGGAGGAAACUCUGAUCCAGCCAGGCCGCGGGAGUGAUGAAGGCCUGCGGGUUGUAAAGCUCUUUUACGCCUGACGAGAAUGACGGUAAGGGGAGAAGAAGCCACGGGUAACGACGGGCCAGCAGCCGCCGCGG